rnacentral:rRNA from 1 species
UGGGGAAUUUUCCGCAAUGGGCGAAAGCCUGACGGAGCAAGACCGCGUGGGGGAUGAAGGUUUGUGGAUUGUAAACCCCUUUUGAUUGGGAAGAAUAACUGACGGUACCAAUCGAAUAAGCCUCGGCUAACUCCGUGCCAGCAGCCGCGGUAAUACGGAGGAGGCAAGCGUUAUCCGGAAUUAUUGGGCGUAAAGCGUCCGUAGGUGGUUUAGUAAGUCUGCUGUUAAAGCGCGGGGCUUAACCCUGUAUCGGCAGUGGAAACUACUAGACUAGAGUGUGGUAGGGGUAGAGGGAAUUCCCAGUGUAGCGGUGAAAUGCGUAGAUAUUGGGAAGAACACCGGUGGCGAAGGCGCUCUACUGGGCCAUAACUGACACUGAUGGACGAAAGCUAGGGGAGCGAAAG